ACUGAUUGAUGGUGCUUGCACCUGAUUGACGAUGGAUCACCAGUGAGUGGCGGACGGGUGAGUAACACGUAGGUAACCUGCCCCGGAGCGGGGGAUAACAUUUGGAAACAGAUGCUAAUACCGCAUAACAACAAAAGCCACAUGGCUUUUGUUUGAAAGAUGGCUUUGGCUAUCACUCUGGGAUGGACCUGCGGUGCAUUAGCUAGUUGGUAAGGUAACGGCUUACCAAGGCGAUGAUGCAUAGCCGAGUUGAGAGACUGAUCGGCCACAAUGGAACUGAGACACGGUCCAUACUCCUACGGGAGGCAGCAGUAGGGAAUCUUCCACAAUGGGCGCAAGCCUGAUGGAGCAACACCGCGUGAGUGAAGAAGGGUUUCGGCUCGUAAAGCUCUGUUGUUGGAGAAGAAC
rnacentral:rRNA from 2 species